rnacentral:rRNA from 1 species
AUGGAUUUACCUGGACCAAUACAUGAGAUUGUUAUGCUAUUUGGGGGAUUUGUUCUUCUACUAGGGGGUCUAGGAGUAGUAUUACUUACCAACCCCAUUUAUUCUGCCUUUUCGCUGGGAUUAGUUCUUGUUUGUAUAUCCUUAUUCUAUUUUUUAUUAAAUUCCUACUUUGUAGCUGUCGCACGACUUCUUAUUUAUGUGGGAGCCAUAAAUAUCUUGAUCAUAUUCGUUGUGCACGGUAUCCGGUGCAUUGCGGUACAAGAUCAGACGAGAUGA